UCGCAUGCACACUACUUUUGCACAGCUAUCCGCGAUCGACCCGGUCUAUCCGCGGGUGAUUUGACUCACCCGGCAACAGGUUUGUUUACACACAAUCUUACCACCGAACACCUGAAUUACCAGAUGUAUUUAAAAACAUUUAUACUCCUUGUGGCAUCACUGUCCUAUGCCAGCAUACAUCAUCUGGCUGAAGGGCUGCAGUGUUACAGCUGUUCUGGUGAGGACACCAAUGAUAACUGCAUUGGAUCCAACAACAUCCAGACUUGCUCCAUCACCCAAGACAGAUGCCUUACACGAGUUACUUACUCAAAGGAGCGAGGAAAAUUGGGAAUAGAUAAAUCUUGUGCCUCUGUGGAAGGAUGCACAGCGGCUACUUUACAACUGUCCAAGUACUACUUCUGCGCUAAGAAAAGAGCUGGAUGGGGAUGUGUAGAAUGCUGCCCAGAAGACAGAUGCAAUGAGAGUCGAGGGGUCAACAUACAUCAAAGAUCAUGGAUACCAUUGAUAAUAAUUAGCAUGGGUCUCAUUUUCUUUCAUGAGAUGUGUAGCUGAAGGAAAUUUUUAUUCCUCCCACCUUUUUUAUGAAGUAAAAGUAAAGGAAAGGCUGGAGCAUGCAUACUCUUUCCCUUCUUAUUGCCUUCAAUGGAGAAGCAAUUUACCAGUCUUUUAGUGUACAUGCUCUAAAAUCAAGACCAAAUUCAGCAGCAUCUUUUUUGAAA